rnacentral:rRNA from 1 species
GUGGGGAAUUUUGGACAAUGGGGGCAACCCUGAUCCAGCCAUGCCGCGUGCGGGAAGAAGGCCUUCGGGUUGUAAACCGCUUUUGUCAGGGAAGAAAUCCUUUGGGUUAAUACCUCGGAGGGAUGACGGUACCUGAAGAAUAAGCACCGGCUAACUACGUGCCAGCAGCCGCGGUAAUACGUAGGGUGCGAGCGUUAAUCGGAAUUACUGGGCGUAAAGCGUGCGCAGGCGGUUUUGUAAGAUCGAUGUGAAAUCCCCGGGCUCAACCUGGGAACUGCAUUGGUGACUGCAAGGCUGGAGUGCGGCAGAGGGGGAUGGAAUUCCGCGUGUAGCAGUGAAAUGCGUAGAUAUGCGGAGGAACACCGAUGGCGAAGGCAAUCCCCUGGGCCUGCACUGACGCUCAUGUGCGAAAGCUAGGGCAGCGAACGGGAUUAGAUACCCUAGUAGUCC